rnacentral:rRNA from 1 species
CGUGUAGGCGGUCAGAUAAGUCUGGUGUGAAAGCCCUUGGCUUAACCAAGGAAUGUCGCUGGAAACUGUCUGGCUUGAGUACGAGAGUGGAGAGUGGAAUUCCCGGUGUAGAGGUGAAAUUCGUAGAUAUCGGGAGGAACACCAGUGGCGAAGGCGGCUCUCUGGAUCGAUACUGACGCUGAUACGCGAAAGCGUGGGGAGCAAACAGGAUUAGAUACCCUGGUAGUCCACGCUGUAAACGUUGGGCACUAGGUGUAGGAGGUAUUGACCCCUUCUGUGCCGAAGCUAACGCAUUAAGUGUCCCGCCUGGGGACUACGGCCGCAAGGUUAAA